rnacentral:rRNA from 1 species
CCCUUAGAUGUCCUGGGCUGCACGCGCGCUACACUGGAAGUUACGGAUUGAGAUACUACCUUGUCCGAAAUGGUCCGGGUAAUCACCUAAAAGCUUGUCAUAAUUGGAAUGGAUUAUUGUAACUAGUAAUCCUGAACGAGGAAUUCCUAGUAAGUCCCAGUCAACAGCUGGUACUGACUACGUCCCUGCCCUUUGUACACACCGCCCGUCGCUACUACUGAUUGGACGUUUAAGCAAGAUUUUUAAACACUGACAGUGUGUAGUUCACGCUAUACUACAGUGAGAAGAAGAAGAUCGAGCUUACUUGUCUAGAGGAAGUAAAAGUCGUAACA